rnacentral:lncRNA from 1 species
CUGCACUCAUCUGUGUGUGUGUAUUCAGUUCUAAACAAUGUCAUCACACGUACACAUGUGUAUCCACCAUCACAAUCUAGAUCUGAACAGUUGUUACCAUAAAGAUCCCUCAUGUCACCUUUUAGAAGCACCUACCAUCCUGUGACCCCCCCCAUCCCGAACCCCUGAUGGCCACCACCCUCUCCCCACUUGUACAGUUUUGCCAAUAAGCAAAUGUGAGAGAGAUGGAAUCACCCUGUGUGUGACCCCCGGCAUUGGCUUUUUCCACUCAGGGCAGUUUCCCUGGACGCAUCCACAUUGGCAUGUGUAUCAAUGGUCUGUCCCCUUUAUUGCUGAGCAGUAUUCCGCGGUCUGGACGUACCAGGGUUCGUUUUAACCGUUCACCUGCUAAAGGCUGUCCAGGCCGUUUCCAGUUUGGGGCUCUUGUGAACACAGCUGCUGUGAACAAGUGUGUGCAGGUGUCUGUGCAGACAGAAGUUUGAUUCCUCUGGAUCAACACGCGAGGGCGCAGCGGCUAGGUCGUAUGACAGUUGGAUCAACACGCGAGGGCGCAGCGGCUAGGUCGUAUGACAGUUGGAUCAACACGCGAGGGCGCAGCGGCUAGGUCGUAUGACAGUUGGAUCAACACGCGAGGGCGCAGCGGCUAGGUCGUAUGACAGUUGGUCAUUUCGUUUUAAGAAACUGCCCAUCGGUUUUCCAGAGUGGCUGUACCACUUGACAUUCCCACCAGCAACGUCUAAGACCAGCUUCUCCACAUCUUGUCACUGGCAACUUGUGUUCAUUCAUCCAACAGGUAUUUAUGAAUGCCCAGCCUGUGUGCCAAGCACUGUUCUAGACGCUGGGUUUACAGCAACAAAAGACUCAUAAUUCGCAUUACCAAAUAGGAGCUUUCAUACUGAAGGGCGUACACAGCAACACACAAGUCAACAAACUGAUCAUGGUAAGUGUUGAGGAGAAAACAAACACGGUGAUAUGAUAAGAAGUGUGUGCUCGCGUGUGGGAGGAGCGGGUGGGCAGGAGGCGUGGCGCAGUGAUUGUGAAGCCGGCAGUGUGGGUUUGAAUCCUCGCUCCACCACUUCCUAGCUGUGUGGCUCAGGCAAGUGACCUGAUUUAUCUGUGCCUCAGUUUCCUCGUCUGUGAAACUGGAUAGUACCUACCGCAGAGGGUUGUUGGGAGGGUUAAGUGAGUUGCAAGGACCAGGCCUGGACGGGGGAGCCAUCUAGCUAAGAGUGGCUCUAAGAGCCCAUCAGCCACCUGGGCGGCACUGUUAAGAAGCCACAGUUGAAAGUGGCUUUUCCGAGACACGAUGCACCCGAGUGCACCGACGGGAGGGCCCCUCCCCGCGGGGUCAGAGCCCACCUUGCUCUGGGAGUGGACAGCCGUGGGCACGGCAAGGCCCCCCACUCACCCAGCCACUGGCAGAGGUGACUCCGGCAGAGCUGCCAGGGCACAGGAUCAGAGGAGAUGCUCAGACCCACGUGGCGCACGGGAGGCUGACACCAUUCCCAGGCCAGAGUGGGGCUGGCGGACUCAGCUGGGCCCUCUCGGAGGGGCUGGGCACGGGCCUCCCACCAAACAGGCACUUCCUGUGCGGUGCUGCAGAGACCAAGGUGACCUGGAAACUCCCCUCCUCAUCCGGCCGCCUCUCUCCAGGGCCUGGCCUAGAAGAGGGAAGCGAGAGUAGCACAUGGGAUGGCAUCUUGCAAAACAGGGAAGCGGAGAAGGGGUGGGGGCUGUGGGCAGCUCCAGGCCGGAGGAAACUAGGCCAUCUUUGCGGGGCGUGGGCUGGGGUCCUUCUCAGGGAGGAAGUGACGGUGAGUCAGCGACGCCCUGAG